rnacentral:rRNA from 1 species
GUCUACAGCCAUGCUACCCUGAACAAGCCAGAUCCCAUCUGAUCUUGGAAGCUAAGCAGGGUCGGGCCUGGUUAGUACUUGGAUGGGAGACCACCUAGAAAGACCAGGUACUGUGGCAU